rnacentral:rRNA from 1 species
UAGGGAAUCUUCCACAAUGGGCGCAAGCCUGAUGGAGCAACACCGCGUGAGUGAAGAAGGGUUUCGGCUCGUAAAGCUCUGUUGUUAAAGAAGAACACGUAUGAGAGUAACUGUUCAUACGUUGACGGUAUUUAACCAGAAAGUCACGGCUAAAUACGUGUCAG